ensembl:lincRNA
AAUGCAGGGAAAAUAACAUCCAUUUCUAACACAUGAAGCCCACGUAUUUUCUAAAGAAGAAGAGAAAGACAUUAACAUUACACAAGAAAACUAUUUGCUCUUUGCUUUAAAUUUCCAAAUUUGAGGACACCGGAGAUUUCAGACUUCAAAACUACAUACAUCUGUGCUGAGACAUAGACCCUCUAAGGUGCUUAAUUAUUGGCACUUAAAGCUGGUUUCAUGAAACACCUGGUCUGAGUAAGCAAUAUGAUCAGACAGUGUCAGCAGGGCAGACAGAUUUUAAAUGGAAGAUUGUUACUUACCCAAAAGCCAUUUUGAAGCGAAAAACAGCAUUAUCAGCAAACCAGUAAUAAUAACUUAAACAUCCCCAAGUACAUUAUUAACACUUCUAGCCCUCUAAAGAUUAGAUGACUUCUUUAUAAAAGUUUUUAUGUCUCGAGAGAACAUAUUGUUCUCUGCAUUUAUCAUUUUACAAAAAUAUUAUUUUUCACCAAUAGUCUUACUUUUAUUAUUCCCAGUCAUCUUUUAUUUUCGCUUCUGAUAAGUGUUAUUUCCUCUCUACCAGUGCCUGCAGCAGCCUGCACUGCAAUCACUACCCAUUGCUCAGUAUUUGUCCGUUUUCUCAACAGCCCUUUGGAUUGAAACUCUUGCCUGGAGCAUUAAGAACUUGGGGGAGAAAUCACUACUCACUGCUUUGCUCGCAAUUCUCAUUUGGACUAGCGCUUGCAGAAACUGAGCUGAACUUUCCUCUCUGUUAUUGCAUCUGUAAGCUUGUUGCUCCAGACCUCGAGUUUAAACUAGUUCGAAAUCAAUCAACUCACUCAGAAGUAGAAUGAAAGACUUCUCAGAAGAAAGUGAGAACACAGGAAAAUAUAUAUUUUUAAAUUGCCGAUCGUCCCUUACAUCUCAGACAGAAUUUUUCACUGUCUCGCACAGAAUCAGGGCACAUGGUGAAGCAUUUGGAAAGUGGAUGCUGAGGUCAAGCAGCAAGCAUUGGCACAUAAAUUGCAAGUUAUGAAGUUGAUAAAUGCUGAAGUUUCUGCCCUAGGACAACCUUGUAAAAUAAAAUUGUGAAAAGAUGGAACGUUACUAAAAGAAAGUAGCAACAUCCAUUAAUGUCUGUUUCUGUUAUAUAUUUGUAUAUCAUAAUAAUAUUAUUAGUAACUGAAGCUUCCUAACUCAUUCAUUAAUUAGCCUGUUCAUAAACUUGAGCUGUGUAUCCACUCUGUGCCAGGCACUGUGCUUGGGACCAAGAAUUAAAAGAUGCAUAUCUUACU